rnacentral:pre_miRNA from 1 species
UUGCAAAGUGAAUCGUCAGCUUUAAUCUCAAGUUUGUUAUGGUGUACUUCAAGAUGCU